rnacentral:lncRNA from 1 species
AUGCACAUACUGUUAGUGCAUUUUGGCUGUUUCUGCAAAUAUAGGGAAGUUUCUGCAAAAGUAAGGGCGGGGGGGGGGGGGGUAGUUAUGGGACUGGACAGAGAUGAAGAUAUUGAUGCAAAUAAGGACCGAAAAAUCAGCCAGAUUGAAGCAAGAGCUCAAAACAGAGGUUUGUCAGUAGGAAGUAAGUGUGCUGUGUUGAGCACUGUGUGCCUUGGCCUCACAUGCAUUUUGGAGGCUGUCAUUGUAGUAUUGCAUAUCAAGCUCAAGGCAGAGUAGAGUGAACAAGCUAUACACAUGUUACAAUCCACUUCAAACCAGAGUCAAUGAUCUCACUGACUGAAGAAAACCAGUUGAGACCAGAGUCAAUGAUCUCACUGCUGAGAAAACCAGUUUGAGACCAGAGUCAAUGAUCUCACUGCUGAGAAAACCAGUUGAGACCAGAGUCAAUGAUCUCACUGCUGUGAAAAACAGUUUGAGACCAGAGUCAAUGAUCUCACUGCUGAGUAAAGCCAGUUUCAGAGUAACUUCAACUCUUUGAGUCAGAAGAAACUGGAGCUGGAGACCAGUCUCAGUGAUCUUACUACUAAGAAAGGCCAGUUGGAGACAAGAAUCAAAGAUCUCACUGCUGAGAAAAAGCCAGUUGCAGAGCACUUCAACUUUUUGAGUCAGAAGAAACUGGAGCUGGAGACCAGAGUCAAUGACCUUACUACUAAGAAAGGCCAGUUGGAGGGGAGCUAGAGACCAGAGUCAUUGAUCUUACUACUAAGAAAGGCCAGCUGGAGACCAGAAUCGAAGAUCUCACUGCUGAGAAAAGCCAGUUACAGACCAACUUCAACUCUUCUAGUCAGAAGAAACUGGAGCUAGAGACCAGAGUCAUUGAUCUUACUACUAAGAAAGGCCAGUUGGAGACCAGAGUCAAAGAUCUCACUGCUGAGAAAAGCCAGUUACAGAGCAACUUCAGCUCUCUGAGUCAGAAGAACCUGGAGUUAGAAAGCAGAAUCAGGUCUCUGAGUGAAGAAGAAUCUAAACAGAGUCAGUACAAAUCUGUUUUUGUUGUAGGUUUUAUAUAUAUAUAUAUAUAGAUACAGAUAUAGAUACAUAGAUAUAGAUAUAUAUAUAUAUAUAUAUAUAUAUAUAGUAGUAGUAGUAGUAGUACUGCACUUCCUCUGAUGUCUUCUCAGCCGUCAGUAUGCUCUGGGUGAGAGGACAUGGUUGGAGUUUUGGCCCAGCUUGGAGCACAGCAAGACUAGCACUGAACUCAGAGAAAAAUACAACGGCAUGUUGAGUCUCCAGCAGGAUCUGCGCUUUGGCUGCAGCUAAUUAGUCAAAUGUCAGACUGUUGCUUUGAGAUGCUCAUUGACAAAAUGAAAUGUUAUAAAACAGAAAAAUACUGUGUCGCUUCAUUUUCUAACUUUAAAUAGUAUGUUAAAUAGUGAGUUAUGAGUUGCUUUUGUACUGUUGCUUUUUAGUUAAUUAUUCCUGUUACUCUAGCGAUUAAUUAAUAUAUAUCUAAGCAUGGCUUGUUUACACCCCAACAUUCCAAAAAGCAGUGGUGUGAAAUAUCCAUUUCAAAUGCCAGACUAUUGCUUUGAGAUGCUCAUUGCAAAAGAAAAAGUUUUAAAAAUAAAAAAAAAAAUUAAGUAGUCGCUUCAUUUUCAACUUUAAAUGUAUGUUAAACAUGAGUUUUGAGUUAAUUUUGACUUUUUUAGUAAUUAUCCUGUUACUCAGCAAUUAAUUAUAUUCCUAAGCAUGACUUGUUUACACCCCAACAUUCCAAAAGCAGUGUUAUGAAGCACGCAUGUCUAAGCAAAUAUCCAUAAUAAAUAUGGUCAAGCAAGGUCAUCUGUUCUGAUCAUCCCCUUAUUCACUAUCCGAAACAACAAACUUUUAGAAGGUACUGAUUUAUAAUUGAUGUGCAAAUGCAAUUUUUUAACAUUAUAAUUGAUUAAAUACUUUAUACUUCAGAGUAACCUUGCUGUGCAAGUUCAGUUUUCCAACAUUUCUCCUGAUCUGUGUAUGUGAAUCUGUAUUAAUAAGAGAGCUUGAAAUAAGAAACCUUUUGAAUGGUCAAAAGUAUACAAUCCGUCUCUUUUAAAUACAAUUACAUUUACAGCUUACAUGCUGGUUUGGUGUAGGAUUAACACCAUAACACCAUUUGAAACAUUUUUUACUGAGAAAUUGCUAGAAAAUGUUACAAUUAAUUAAAAAGACAUUGAAUUAAAAAGUUUUUAUAAUAGAAAGACUGAAGUAGUAUUUUCUUGUAAAACAUACUCCAUUACCCUUUUAAUUUACAACUUUGAAUCAUUCUUUACAGUGCUGUAAAGCAGAUAAAACUGACUUUUGCAAAUAUGCCUCAUUCUAUAAUAAACCUCUUUUGCCCGUUUACACUUUAGUUUGUCAUGUAAGCCCCUCUUUAACCUGAACUUCCUCUGAUGUCUUCUCAGCGGUCAGUAUGCUCUGGGUGAGAGGACAUGGUUGGAGUUUUGGCCCAGCUUGGAGCACAGCAAGACUAGCACUGAACUCAGAGAAAAAUACAACGGCAUGUUGAGUCUCCAGCAGGAUCUAUGCUUUGGACAAAAUGAAAUGUUAUAAAAUAGAAAAAUCAGUGUCGCUUCAUUUUCAACUUUAAAUGUAUGUUAAACAUGAGUUAUGUGUAAAUGUUGACUUGAUUUUUUAGUAAUUAUUCUGUUACUCAGAGAUUAAUUAAUGUACUGUAUAUCUUAGCAUGACUUGUUUACACACCACCAUUCCAAAAGCAGUUUUGUGAAACAUGCAUGUCUAAGCAAAUAUAAAUAAUAAAUAUGGUCAAGCAAGAUAAACUGUUCUGAUCAUCCCCUUAUUCACUAUCCAAAACAACAAACUUUUAGAAGGUACUGAUUUAUAAUUGAUGUGCAAAUGCAAUUUUUUAACAUUAUAAUUGAUUAAAUACUUUAUACUUCAGAGUAACCUUGCUGUGCAAGUUCAGUUUUCCAACAUUUCAAGUUCAGCAGGAUGUAAAAUUAAAAUCAAAUAAAUGUAAG